rnacentral:rRNA from 1 species
GAUGAACGCUGGCGGCGUGCCUAAUACAUGCAAGUCGAGCGAACGGACGAGAAGCUUGCUUCUCUGAUGUUAGCGGCGGACGGGUGAGUAACACGUGGAUAACCUACCUAUAAGACUGGGAUAACUUCGGGAAACCGGAGCUAAUACCGGAUAAUAUUUUGAACCGCAUGGUUCAAAAGUGAAAGACGGUCUUGCUGUCACUUAUAGAUGGAUCCGCGCUGCAUUAGCUAGUUGGUAAGGUAACGGCUUACCAAGGCAACGAUGCAUAGCCGACCUGAGAGGGUGAGCGGCCACGCUGGAACUGAGACACGGUCCAGACUCCUACGGGAGGCAGCAGUAGGGAAUCUUCCGCAAUGGGCGAAAGCCUGACGGAGCAACGCCGCGUGAGUGAUGAAGGUCGUCGGAUCGUAAAACUCUGUUAUUAGGGAAGAACAUAUGUGUAAGUAACUGUGCACAUCUUGACGGUACCUAAUCAGAAAGCCACGGCUAACUACGUGC